GACGAACGUUGGCGGCGUGCUUAAUACAUGCAAGUCAACUGAAGCAGUGGUAGCAAUAUCGCUGUGGAGGUGGCGCACGGGUGAGUAACACGUAGGUAAUCUGCCUUCAGGUCUGGCAUAACUCCGGGAAACCGGGGCUAAUAGCAGAUGAUGCAGCGGCUCGACAUCGAGACAGUUGUUAAAGCUAUGGCGCCUGAAGAUGAGCCUGCGUCUGAUUAGCUAGUUGGCGGGGUAACGGCCCACCAAGGCAACGAUCAGUAGCUGGUCUGAGAGGAUGAUCAGCCACACUGGAACUGAGACACAGUCCAGACUCCUACGGGAGGCAGCAGUAAGGAAUAUUGCUCAAUGGGAGAAAUCCUGAAGCAGCAACGCCGCGUGAGGGACGAAGGGCUUUUGCUUGUAAACCUCUGUAGUGAGAGAAAAAAAUCCCAAUCUUUGGGACAUGAUGGUAUCUCAAAAGUAAGCCCCGGCUAACUACGUG
rnacentral:rRNA from 1 species